UACGAAGGGGACUAGCGUUGUUCGGAAUUACUGGGCUUAAAGGGCGCGUAGGCGGGCUGUCAAGUCCGGGGUGAAAUCCUCCAGCUCAACUGGAGAAUGGCCUCGGAUACUGAUGGUCUCGAGGAGGAUAGGGGCACACGGAACUGUGGGUGGAGCGGUGAAAUGCGUUGAUAUCCACAGGAACUCCGGUGGCGAAAGCGGUGUGCUGGAUCCUUUCUGACGCUGAUGCGCGAAAGCCAGGGGAGCAAACGGG
rnacentral:rRNA from 1 species